UACGUAGGGGGCAAGCGUUGUCCGGAUUUAUUGGGCGUAAAGAGCUUGUAGGCGGUUUGUCGCGUCUGCUGUGAAAACUCGAGGCUCAACUUCGAGCUGUCGGCGGAAACUAUCUGGCUAGAGUCCGGAAGAGGAGAGUGGAAUUCCUGGUGUAGCGGUGAAAUGCGCAGAUAUCGGGAGGAACACCAAUGGCGAAGGCAGCUCGCUGGGACGUGACUGACGCUGAGACGCGAAAGCGUGGGGAGCAAACAGG
rnacentral:rRNA from 1 species